rnacentral:lncRNA from 1 species
UAAAAUAAUGGCUUAAAGAAGGAAUCAUAUUGCGCAAUAUAAGGUAUCAUAUUCCCUUCUCUUCAAUGGCAAGCAGCUUUGCAAUGAGAUCAUCCAUAGAGCUGUUGAAAGCUGUCAACUUCUUUGCUAUUGCAGUGUUGCCUAUGAUCCAAAGAGAGUGCUACUGCCUAUUGUUAUAAGAAGAACAUGGAAAAAUCCCCCUGCAAAUUGGUAUAAACUUAACUCCGAAGGUUCAUCCAUUGAAAACCCCAAGUGUCGGUGGAGCUGGGUUCUUAUUAGAGAGGAUGAAGGAACUGGGUUACUGGUUGCUUCAGGCACAUCCCACACAUUACUAGCAUCAAAGCAGCUUUGGGGCACGUAGAGAUGGUUUAAACCUUGCUGUCUCCCUUUACAUUAAAUCUUGUGGUGGAACUUGAUGCCAUGGCAGUCAGUAGCUUCAUUCAGCACAUGGUCAAGUAUGAGUAAGCUGAGGUUGUUAGGCUGUUGAUCAAGAAGUUAAUUAGUUGUUAGCUGGUUAAUAAUCAGUUGUACAGUUGUACUUCAACUGUAAAUACGUGUAUUGAUGCUAGUCAGGAAUAAGACUAAUACCAUUCUAUUUUCUCUAGUUUGUUUUCUUCUUCAGUUGCAUUUGUUCAUACCUUUUGAGUCUUUCAAGCAUGGUAUCAGAGCU